rnacentral:rRNA from 1 species
GACGAACGCUGGCGGCGUGCCUAAUACAUGCAAGUAGGACGCAGUUGCGAACGGGUGAGUAACGCGUCGGUAACUGCCUAUUAGAGGGGGAUAACUAUUGGAAACGAUAGCUAAUACCGCUUACUAGUAGAUGGACCUGCGUUGUAUUAGCUUGUAGGUAGGGUAAUGGCCUACCUAGCCAACGCUACAUAGCCGACCUGGGAGGGUGAACGGCCAGACUGGGACGAGGACGAGGCCCAGACGCCUAUGGGAGGGAGCAGUAGGGAAACUUCGGCAAAUGGGGGAACCCUGGACGGGCAGCGCCGCGGGAGUGAAGAGGGUGUUCGGAUCGUAAAGCUCUGUUGUUUAGUAAGCGGUACUUAGCCAGAAAGGGACGGCUAACUACGUGCCAGCAGCCGCGGUAAUUC